UAAUAAACGCAGCUCGAUCUGAUAUGGAGCUGCGUUUUUUUAAACGCAGCUCCAAAUGUAUUUGAGCUGCGUUCAAUAAAACGCAGCACCACAUGUGGUACUAAUUAAAUUUCAACACUAUUGAAAUUUCCCAAUCCCUAAUCUCAGCUCUCACUAUCUCAGCUCAACCUCCCAAUCCAUUCUCGCCGCCGUGCUCUCAACCCACUACCCACAAACCUCACGCCUCCUCCCUCAUCAAAACCCGAAAAAUUUGCUGACUGAAGAGACCCAAGCUCUUCACAUGGCCAUGAAACCUAAAACCCACAACGGAAAUGGCAACUCCAGCGACAACAACAGCGGCGGAGGAAGACAUAGUGAUUAGUAUGGUGGCUGCUUGAUGUUAACCUCAGCUGUCAUAUUUCUCUCUUUCUUGCUGCGCCUCUCUUUGUUGAGUUAUCUUCGAUGUCGGCGGCUACCUCAUCGUUCGCCUCAGCGGCAGCUAUAUCAGCCCCUUCAUCGCCGAUUGACUUAUUUGGUCGUUAAAAACUCAAAAAACAAACAACCAAAAGGGCAAAGGUUAGUUCAGAGAGAAGAAGAAGAAGAGCACAACUGGCGUCAACCACAGCUUUUCCGUUUUGGAGAGCCACACAAGACCGAAGCACUCACUCGCCUCCAAGUGGGCCGAUGGAAAGCCCAUGUGGACUAUAUUGUUCUAACGAGUGUAGAUCGUAAUGAUCUACCUGACGGUGGAAGUGGGCAUUUUGCUCAAACAGUCAAAACUAUGAAGGUAUGCACAAAGCUUGUCAGUUUUAAGACAUGCAAAAAUCAACAAGGAGGGCAUGAUAACAAAAUCUUCUAUAAUGUUGGGCCUUGGAGAAUCUGAUGAUGAGUUGAAAGAAGCUAUGGCUGAUUUAAGGGCUAUUGAUGUUGAUAUUUUGACUCUUGGACAGUAUUUACAGCCAACUCCACUACACCUGACUGUCAAAGAAUAUGUCACCCCUGAAAAGUUUGCUUUCUGGAAGGAAUACGAGGAGUCCAUUGGAUUUCGUUAUGUAGCCAGUGGGACCACUGGUCCGAUCCUCAUAUAGAGCUGGUGAGCUUUUAGAGAUAAGGCUACCAGCACUGCUGGCACAUCCUAUUGAUUUUUGGCUAUUGUGGACUUUCCAGUGGAUGGCUCAUGGCUGACAAGUUGACCACAAAUUGGUAAAUGAGAGCAGUAUGUAUUGGGGCAAAUGACUGUAAUGGUUGUCCUAAUUUAUUAUAAAGUAUAAAUUUUCUGGAUCUAGUAAAAAAUAUCUUCAUUUCUUUGAGGAUUUUAUGUUUUAUUUUAUUUUCAUUGUUUUGUUUUGCUGGUAAUUGGUUGGGAA